UACGAAGGGGGCUAGCGUUGUUCGGAAUUACUGGGCGUAAAGGGCGCGUAGGCGGUACUUCAAGUCAGGCGUGAAAGCCCCGGGCUCAACCUGGGAACCGCGCUUGAGACUGGAGAACUAGAGUUCGGGAGAGGAUGGUGGAAUUCCCAGUGUAGAGGUGAAAUUCGUAGAUAUUGGGAAGAACACCGAUGGCGAAGGCAGCCAUCUGGACCGACACUGACGCUGAGGCGCGAAGGCCAGGGGAGCAAACGGG
rnacentral:rRNA from 1 species